rnacentral:rRNA from 1 species
ACGAACGCUGGCGGCUGCUUAACACAUGCAAGUCGAACGGAGUGGCGAACGGGUGAGUAACGCGUGAGCAACCUGCCUAUGACAGUGGGAUAGCCUCGGGAAACCGGGAUUAAUACCGCAUAGUAAUAGAUGGGCUCGCGUCUGAUUAGCUAGUUGGUGAGAUAACAGCCCACCAAGGCGACGAUCAGUAGCCGGUCUGAGAGGAUGACCGGCGUAAUGGUAUCUUGGACACGGUCCAUACUCCUACGGGAGGCAGCAGUGGGGAAUAUUGCACAAUGGGGGAAACCCUGAUGCAGCGACGCCGGGUGAACGAAGAAGGUAUUCGUAGCGUAAAGUUCUGUCCUAUGGGAAGCAGUACCAUAGAAUAAAGCUCCGGCUAAAUACGUGCCAGCAGCCGCGGUAAUAC